CCUACGGGAGGCAGCAGUAAGGAAUAUUGCGCAAUGGACGAAAGUCUGACGCAGCGACGCCGCGUGGGGGAUGAAGGUCUUCGGAUUGUAAACCCCUUUCGGGAGGGAAGAUGGAGUGGGUAACCACUUGGACGGUACCUCCAGAAGCAGCCACGGCUAACUUCGUGCCAGCAGCCGCGGUAAU
rnacentral:rRNA from 1 species